GACACUGGGACGAGGAAACUGAGCUCCGGGCACAGCUCAGCCCGUGGGAAUUGCCCAACUGGGCUGUCGCAAUGGGCUAGGAGGCCAGGGUCGGCCCUGCCGCUGGCUGCCAGGACCAGGCCUCCUGGCCACCCUAAGCGCCUAGAAUCUGGGGACAAUAGCGGCCAAGCAGUUAACAUCUGCUCUGCGAUGGCGGUAAAAAGGAAAGCAAAAUUUCGAUCUAUUUUUCUGGGAAGAGAGUAAGAGAUUUGGGCUGUCCCGGCAGGACCCGAGCUUUGCAACACACCGGUGUUCCUUUAAGUCCAAAAGAGGGCCGAGAAACCAGCUGGCCCACAGUUCACAGAACAUCCCAGCAGGAACCCGUACCCCUGUGGAGACUGCUGAGAAACUGGAGCCUAUCCAGGCCACGGCCACGGCCGGGGAUCAGCCCCAACCUACGGAGCCCAUUAACAGUCGCUACCUGGUAAUUUCUAAAGCACCCGCUGGGUGGGUGCGUGGUCCACGGGGGGCCACAAAAGCCAAGGACACAAGUUCACUGCCUGCAAGGAGCUUGCCCGUGGGAGAUAAAGCUGGUAACGGGCUCGACACCCAGGCAGCCCUUCCGGGAGGCGGAGAUGGGCUCCAGAAAUGAACAGGAUUCAGAGGCUGCAUCCAAGGACGGAGAGACCAAAGUCCUGGUUGCACCAUUUGGCAGCGUGUCGCCUGACCUCCAGGAGCCUGGGUGUCUUUGUCUUUUAAAUGGGAUUCACAGAGACCCUACCUCUUAGGGUUAGCGUGAGGGCAGAGGGAAAUAAGGUAUAUACAGAGAUUGCCGGCCAGCAGCCAGUGCUUCAGACACACUAUCGAGAAGGAGCUUCAGGGGAGUUCCCGUGGUGGCUCAGCAAUAAUGAACUUGGCUAAUAUCCCUAAGGACGAGCGUUCAAUCCUUGGCCUUGCUCAGGGGGUUAAAGAUCUGGUGUUGCUGUGAGUUGUGGUGUGGGUCACAGACAUGGCUUGGAUCCUGUGUUGCUGUAGNAGAAAAAAAAAAAAAAAAAAAAGGAAAUUCAGGAAAACAACAUGAAUGAACCUCAAAGACAUGACCCCAGUUGAAAGAGGGCAGGUGUGCAAAGUGGCACACGGAAUGGUUCUUUUCCUAGGAAGUGGCCAGAGCGUUAAGUAAAUCCCUAGAGAUGAGAAGCAGAUUAGUGGUUGCCAAGGGCCGGGGGAGGGGAAAGGGGUGUCUUUUUGGGGUGAUGACAAUAUGUUGGAACUAGAUAGGGGGUGAUUGCAUGGGAAUAGGUGAAAGGUCACGGGACAGUGCAUUUUAAAACGGUGCAUUUCGGAAUUCCCUGGUGGCCUAGCGAUUAAAAGAGGCAGAGUCCUUCAAUCCCCAGCCUGAGGUCGAGGCCAAAAACAUUAAAAUGAAAUCAAAUGGUUCAUUUUUUGGUAUGUGAAUGUCACCUCAAUUAAAAAAAUGUCUUGAAGGAAAUUUGUUUGCACAAACCUAGUGAAUGGGACACUCGCCAGGGCCAGACCCCAGACACUCUGCCUCCUGUCACCCUCCAGCCUGGGCUGAGUGAGCUGGGUCACCCUCUGUCCAGGCCUGGACACCCUCAGCCUGGCCGGUGGGGCCUAGCGGAGCCCAGACAUGGGGGCAGGGUGGGGGGCUGCCCCACACAGUUCGGGGAGAGGCCAGUGUCCCCAGGCUGCUGGGAGGACCAAGUUACAUCAGAGGUCGUGUGCGAGAUGCGUUACAAAGAGAGAGGGAUGAGCUCCAGGUGCACUGGCUGCACCUGCCAUGGAGCACCUGCCGUGGCGGGACGAGGGGAGCACGAGGGGAUGUGCGCAGCCAGGGAGCCCACAGGGGUCAAGGCAGAGUCCCCGCCUGGCCCAGACCCGGGGACAGUCAGCUCCUCUGCCCACCCCCACCCCCCUCCCUCUCCUGGCCUCCCUGGCUCCCCCUCAGAGUCCCAUCCUAAUCCUGCCAGGAGAGGGAGCCCAGGGCAGUGGGUCUCCGUCCUGUGUCCCCCCUGCAGGCAGCCAGGCCAGAGAGAGAGCUGUCCAGCCCGCAGCCACGGAGGAGGCGCCCGCCACCCAGCUGACAUGGGGGCGGGUCUCAGGCUUUCCCCACUGGGCCACCACUGCCAGGGCAGCCUCCUGGGCUUUGGGCCACCAGGCGGAAAGGAUAAAAAGAGGCCACAUGCCUCCUGCCACGUGGAGGCAUCCACGCACCAGGGGCAACACUGUCACACAGAACUCGGGUGCCAGAGGACCACGUGGGCAUUCAGCAGGGCGAGUUGGCAGGACCGACACCACUGCCUGUUGGGAUCCCAGGACUCGGGGAGGCCAUGCUGCCGAGGGUGCCCUAGCCGGCCCGGCCCAGGCUGGGAGCCACCAGUAUGAGACGCCACUUGACUGGCAAGAAACUCACCUUCCGAGGAACCUGCCAGUCUUCAAACUCAUAAAUGCCCUCCAGAGUUAGUGACCCCUGAACUACGGGCAGAUGUUAAGUGCCCAUAACCCUUUCCGGCUGGUGAUAACCCCGCGGCACUCUUGGCUUUUCUUGCGAUGGGUUUGCUGUUUUCUCCAAGGAGUGGGUUUCAUCAGAUCCGGGUGCCCAAGACCGUGGCAAGGACCCAGCCACGGAAGGAGGGGCUGGACGGCGGCUCACAGUCCCCUUGUGCAGCUCCAGCGCGGGGCAAAAUCCCGCACAGGCCUGCGGUGAGGCCUCGCAAACAAGCAGCAGCAUGAUCCUGCCGGCCAGCUCAGCCCCCAGCCUUGGCCCAGAGCGGCUCUGGCCGCCCCGCCUCUGGCUCCCCUCCUGCAGCCCAUGCCGACCGCCCGCCACCAGAGGCCUUGCCAGCCGCCGAGGCAGCCCCUUGCGUCCCGUCCCCAGAGCCCUCAGCAGCCCUGAAGUCAUUCUGCUCCAGGAUCUGCUCCGUGUUUAUGUCCUGCCUCGGUCUCCGGGGGGCCUGACGUGCUCCCUGCAGCUUGUCCCCAGCACCCAGCCCCCGCGGGAACAAGGACCCGAGACGGAAACGGCAAAAGCGCUGUGAGCAAGACACCUGCCCGCGGAUCCCAGCCCCGCUGCCAGCUAUCUUUCUCCAUCGCUUGGCCGGCCCGAGGAUCUCAAGAAUGGAAAGGGGUUUAGGGGGUCUGGAGACCACCCCACCACCCAAGAAAGGAGCCCGAGGUUAACUCCCACGUUCUCAGGAGAGCCGCCGACGUGUUGAUGCAAGCGCCAAAUAAUCGAAUUGCAGGUGGGGGUGGGGAGGAGAUAAUUGAAUAUCAGCGAGGGGCUGUUGUCAGGUCAGCCAGUUCCUGGCGUGUUCUCGUAUGUAUGUUUUCUGAGAGAGCCCCCAAAUAAAACAGUUCUAUUAUUUUAUGCCACAAAA
rnacentral:lncRNA from 1 species